UCCUCGUUAGUAUAGAUGGUGAGUAUCCCCGCCUGUCACGCGGGAGACCGGGGUUCGAUUCCACGACGGGGAG
rnacentral:tRNA from 1 species